rnacentral:rRNA from 1 species
GACGAACGCUGGCGGCGUGCCUAAUACAUGCAAGUCGAACGCUGAAGAGAGGAGCUUGCUCUUCUUGGAUGAGUUGCGAACGGGUGAGUAACGCGUAGGUAACCUGCCUUGUAGCGGGGGAUAACUAUUGGAAACGAUAGCUAAUACCGCAUAACAAUGGAUGACACAUGUCAUUUAUUUGAAAGGGGCAAUUGCUCCACUACAAGAUGGACCUGCGUUGUAUUAGCUAGUAGGUGAGGUAAUGGCUCACCUAGGCGACGAUACAUAGCCGACCUGAGAGGGUGAUCGGCCACACUGGGACUGAGACACGGCCCAGACUCCUACGGGAGGCAGCAGUAGGGAAUCUUCGGCAAUGGGGGCAACCCUGACCGAGCAACGCCGCGUGAGUGGAGAAGGUUUUCGGAUCGUAAAGCUCUGUUGUAAGUCAAGAACGGGUGUGAGAGUGGAAAGUUCACACUGUGACGGUAGCUUACCAGAAAGGGACGGCUAACUACGUG